GACGAACGCUGGCGGCGUGCUUAACACAUGCAAGUCGAACGGAAAGGCCCUGCUUUUGUGGUGUGCUCGAGUGGCGAACGGGUGAGUAACACGUGAGUAACCUGCACUUGACUUUGGGAUAACUUCAGGAAACUGGGGCUAAUACCGGAUAGGAGCUCCUGCUGCAUGGUGGGGGUUGGAAAGUUUCGGCGGUUGGGGAUGGACUCGCGGCUUAUCAGCUUGUUGGUGGGGUAGGGGCUUACCAAGGCAUUGACGGGUAGCCGGCCUGAGAGGGUGACCGGACAGAUCGGAAUGGGGAUGCGACCCAGACUCAUACGGGAGGCAACGGAGGAGAAGAGAACAUUGCAGGCUGAAGGCAAAUGCGAUGACGCGACGUGGGGUAAGACGUCCAGCAGGUUGGAAUGUGCUGUCGCCUGAGAAGAGGCGAGAGUGACGGUACCUGGUAAAGAAGCACCGGCUAACUACGUG
rnacentral:rRNA from 1 species